CUCCUCCUGCUCCUCCUCUUUCUCCUCCUCCUUUUGCUCCUGCUUAUAUCCUCCUCCUCCUGCUCCUCCUUCUGCCCCUCCUGUUCUUCCUCCUCCUCCUCCUUUUGCUCCUCCUGUUCGUCCUCCUGCUUCUCCUGCUCCUGCUCCUCCUGCUCCUCCUCCAGCAGCUCCUCCUCCUCCUGUCCUCGCUUUUUCUUCAUCUUUGUCUUCUUUUCAUCUUCCCUCUCUUUUUCUUUUGUAAUCACUAUGGACCACAAUAAGUUGUCACAGUAGUGCACAGGUCCCGAGUACCUAUCAACCAGUUUCCCCCAAUGAUGACUUCUUACAUCAUGAAGCAAGGACAUUGAUUGGCUCCAGAUCAUCAACUGGAUUACAGCUCUUACUCAUAUUUCACCAGUGUUCACAUCCACUCAUUUUUGUAUAUUUUUGUAUCUAAUUCCAUGAUGUUUUAUCACAUAUAUAGAUGCGUAUAAUUACCACCACAUCAAGUUCCAGAGCUAUGCUGUCACUAUGGGGGAAAGCACCUUGUAUUCCUCCUUGUAGUCACACCCUCCUCCUCUUUUCUAUGCACUAGCAACCACUCCCCUGCACUCCAUCUCUACAGCAAUGCCAUUUUGAAAAUGCUAUAUCAAUGGAAUCAUGCAGUGUGUAAUCUUUUGAGAUGGGCUUUUCUUCACUUAGCAUAAUUCCCUUGAGCUCCAUCCAAGUUGUUGCAUGUAUCAACAGUUUGUUCCUUUUUGUUGCUGAGUAGUAUUCCAUGGUAUGGAUGCACCACACUUUGUGUUACCAUUCACCAGUUGAAAUUUGGGUUGUUUUCAGGUUUUAGAUAUUUAUGUAUAUAAAGCUGCAUGAGUCAUAUAACUGGCUGAAUAAAUUUAAAUGAAUAUCAGUCAUGCAGAUCUUUUAGAAAUGAGCUCUCUGAAUCUUAGUUAAUAGAACAAUAUACACAUUUCAAGGAGAGGUCUUUCCUACCUACAUACUUCAGAGGUUUCUUAAAGGGGUGUCUGCAAAACUGACCAUCUCCAGUUCACCCCUCUGAUAUCCUCCUAUGAUUUCCAGACUUAUAUUUAGGAAGACCAAGGCUGGUCCUUUUCUGUUAGAAGUCACCUGUCUGAAAAAAUUCUAGCUACCAAAAUUUGUCAUCGGCUAAGUGCAUUUUCACCUUGGAGCCAUUGUAAAUCUUCACCUUGUCCUAUUGCCUUCGAACCACUCUCUGACAUUAUGAUCCUCAUUGAUUUGUUCCCUUGUUUGUUGACUGCCCCAUGAGAGCUUCAUAAGAGCUGGACUUUGCCUUGUUCUCUGCUAUUCCCUAGUUUACAAUUGAAGGGCCAGACACGGAACAGGUGUAUAAUAAUGUUUGUGAAUAAAUGUGUUAAUGAAUUCUAUCUUCAAUAUAGAAAAGAGAUUUGUAAAAGCUCUCCCCGAAAGACUGGAUUUAAGUAAAUAUAAAUAGAGCUUGCCAAAUAAAUAGAGUGAAGGGAAACCAUUCCAGGGCUUGGACUUAGAAAGCCUGAGUCAGAACUUCAGCUCUACCUCUUACUGUCUUGGUAUCUGUAGGAACUGAUCUAAUUUCUUUGCCAAAGUCAUCUCAUUUGCAACAUCACCUUCUUCACAGGAUAACUGUGAGGCUCAAGUAAGUCAGUUUGUGUGAAUGUACUUUGUAAGACACUAAAGUGCUGUAUAAAUCUAAGGGAUUCUUAUUGCCAUGGUUAUCACCUCCUCCUUCUCUCUCCUGCUUCCCUCCUUCUCCUUCAUCAUCAUUUUGACCAUCAUCAUGACCAUUUGCACCCUUGGAAGGAUAAAAAGCAUCCAGGCAACUGCAAAUAUGAAAUCAUGGCAUUCUUAUGACGUUCCAGCCAGUAGAGGGCAACAGUUCCUACCUGCUAAGUACAAUGUCUUUAAACAUCAAGUUGAAAUAUGCAUGGCAACUUAUGAUCAUUUAUAUGUCUUUAUUUUUAAAGGAAACACGCUCAUCCACCCUAAUCAUUCUUCCAUUGAGCAAUUCCUUCCCAGUAUUCUUGUUCAGUACAUUGCCUUAGCACAAACCUCUUAGAAAUGUCUGGCUGCUGUGAAAGAAAGUGAUUUUAUUUACUUAUUAUUUCAAUGGGAUUUGCAUUCUUGUCCUCCCUUCCUGGUUGCCUGGGUGAGAUGCAGUGCAAAAUUUGGCUCAGGAGUGAUGAUACAGCAUGCUUCUCUUUUCUUGACACUGGCAUUAGAAGAUAGUGUAAUUGCUUGUGUUUGAUUACGUUCUCUGAGAAUUCUGUCACUCUUUGAGGUGAUUCCUAUAUUCCCUCCUUGCUAGACUGUCGCUGUGUGUAUUUCACCCUAGGACUGGUGGAGAGAGUUGUUAAGCUGACCUCUGGAGUCUAUCUGGUACAGUCUGACUUCCCCACAGUGUGUAUCAGCAGGCAGGUCAUUGGUGUAGGGACAGACAGACUGGGAAGUUGCUGAGGGGCUUUACUCCAGAAAGUAAGGGCAGCUGGGUUUUUUUCUUUUCUGUCUCUGGUUCUUGAAUCAGGAUGGAUUUUUGAUAUACUGCUUAACCCUGCUGCCAGGGGACCCACCAGGGUAAAGCAGCACCCCCACCUCAGGAUAAGCAGAAAGAAAGAGAUACACAAGGUAGCCCAGUUUUUUCCAUUUAACAAAAGCUAGCUGGGGAAAAAUCAAACAUUAACAUUUGCUUACUCACUUUAAAGAGGAUGGUGUUCGUUUCAUCACAGGGUAGAGAGGGGUGGCUGUGCAGUCCUGGAAUACUUUUUUUUUUUUUUGAGAUGGAGACUCACUCUGUUGCCAGGCUGGAGUGCAGUGGCGUGAUCUCGGCUCACUGCAACCUGCAUCUCCUGGGUUCAAUCAAUUCUCCUGCCUCAGCCUCCCGAGUAGCUGGGAUUACAGGCAUGUGCCGCCACACCUCGCUAAUUUUUUUGUCUUUUUAGUAGAGAUGAGGUUUCACCAUAUUGGUCAGGCUGGUCUCGAACUCCUGACCUUGUGAUCCGCCCACCUUGGCCUCCCAAUGUGCUGGGAUUACAGGCAUGAGCCACCACACUAGGCCAGUACUUCUUUUUUUAAUGGAACUCUAUUAACCUUAGCUUCAAACCAGCCCCUUUUAUUAAGGAGAACACCAUGAUAUUUAAACAAGAAUGUUUACACAUUUGAGUAUCAGUCAUUCACUCACUUAUCCCAUGUCUAUAGAAAGCCUACUAUACCCUGGAGUUAGAGAUUCAAAAUGAGAAAAAACCAGGACCCUUCCUUGGAAUAACUCCCAGUCUCUGGGGGAUACCAAUGUAGGUCAUUAAUGUUUACAGAGGAGUAGGUGGUGUAACCCAGCCAAGAGCACAGGGCCAUGGCAGCUCAGUGGAAAUGGUGGUUUGCUCUACCAGCCAGAGGCUUCUAAGGAAACACCACUGGAGCUGUGUCUAUGCAGUAUGAGGCAUGUUUUGGGGUGAAUUUUUAUCUUGUUUUGCUCCCUAAACAAUCUUGGAUCAUAUCUAUAGGAAUGCUGACUGGGAAGGAUACAGUAAAUUCUGAUUAUCAUUCCCCAUCCAAGUCUCACCCAGUUUCACCUGGUGUACGUUGUGAUUAGGUUUGGCAGUAGCGAGUUCGUGACCACGUUGUGAAGUGCUGGCAUAUACUUCCUGAGAGUUAAGGAUGGGAAGCCAGAUCUUUAGUUUAGGGCACCUUUGGGAAAAUGCCAGCUUGGCCAAGCCGAGAAAUAACAAACUUUUUUUUUUUUUUUUUGAGUAGAGACCAUACUCACUUCUCCCCAAGACAGGGCAUGCCUCUUAAUAUUUUGCCAUGAUGGCUUUGGGGCCACUAAGAAAAAGUGCUGAUGUAGGGAGAGGACACUGCAAGCUUCAGAUCGAAGGGGUCCUGCCCCAGGGAAAAAACCUCAACUUUUCCACUGAAGCUCUAUGUGACUGUAGGUCAUCUAUCUUGACUUCUCUGGAGCCAUAAUGUCCUGUAUACUGAUUUGGUCCUUUUGCAAAGCAUCGCCUUCUCAGUGAUGAUUCCCAGGGUAUCUCUAAGAAAGUGUUAAAGGCAAAGGCCUUCUUGCACCUUGCAUCCUCUGUAACUCUGAGCCUGCUCUGUGGAGUAGUGGGUAUUGGGCUGCUACUCCUUGGUGGGGAAAGCAAACAGGCUGACACAUCAGCAGAGUGACCAAAGCUGCAUACCCUCCAAGAUGUGAUCCAGCCUGGAGCAGAGCCUGGCCCCAGGGACUGCACAGCCCACACUCCUAGGCUCGGAACAUUUCAGACUCAUGCUGACUUGGCUCUGGAGCUGGCUGUAGCCAGCUGGGACACUGAACCAUUUGCUUGUUCUGUUGACAGCCCAGAAGAACUGGAGCCCUUUGCCUGUGGGUGAAAUCUAAAUUUAGCCCCAAAGAAGUUGCCUUCCCAUUUUGCUGGAGAAAAGCUCUUUUCACGGGAAUGGGCCUCUGCUUUGAUUAAGUGGGAGGACCCACAUCUGGGAAUACAUAAACUUUAUUGUCCUUGGAUGACAAAACGGUUUCCUUGCCUACUGGUUUUCCGCCUUUUUAGCCUGGGGUGUGAUCAUCUGUGCUUAUGACUGUGUUGGCCGGGGCAAGUCAUUUGGCUGUGGCCAGGGCUCCCGACCCUGAGCCUAAGCUGGAGUCAACACCUGGGGAUGUUGUCUUGUCCCCACUUCACCUCCUGAGGCCCAGCUCUGUAAGUGCAGAUGUGACAGAGAGCAGGAGUCUGGGUCUCUGUGAAUGAUCCUGGGAGAACAUGAGGCCCAGGUUUGUAACCCUUUGGACCAGAUCCUGGUAUGGCAGGAGGCCUGAAACAUCCCAGGGCUUUUCCGUAAGGCUUCAGGGUCCAAGGUCCCAGUGCACACCCUGAGCCCAUGCUAGAGUGAACACAAGAGUUCCAUCUUGAAAAGACACCAGCCCUAAGGGGUUCAUUGGGAAAGGCUUCUAGAACUCCUCCUGGCCCAGAAUAGGCCCCUUCAGUGAUUCCCCGCCCUUAGAACCCCCCUGCCAUUUUCAUCUUGUUUGAAUACUUUAGGGAGUUGUUGAGUGAAUAUUCUCUUAAAAGUCAGUUCUCCUAGGGCAUGUUCAGAUCCCUUUGGAUCAGUGUUUCCUUUGUUGUUCAAUGAUGCAGGAUCUGGUUACCUUGUCCAUGUAAGAACUUCUGAAAUGUAGGGCAAAGAGCACUGGACCUGGAUUCAGAACAACUGGGUUGCUGGGUGGUCUGGCUUUAUUGCUUAUUAGUGGUAUGACAUUGGGCAAGGUACCUUCUCCAAGCAUCUGUUUCCUUGUCUGGAAAAUGGCAAUAAUAAGACCAUAUUCACAGCUUUGCUGUCAGCAACAAGUGAGAAGAUGUUACACAUUUUCAAAUGCUCUUUGUAAAAGUAGAUUGCAUUCUCUACUAAGUAAUCUUGGCUGGUAGCAAAUGUUUGCUUGGAUUUGACUAGUUCCUUCCACCGCAUGGAAAUCUCUUUUCUCUCAAAGAGUCCCCUAAAGGACACUGGGCGCUUAUUAGAUCAAGGGAACUCCUGCUUUGUUUGGACCUUCUGUUUCCACUUUUGUUUUCUCUCUUGAAUCUCACUUUGUUUUCCGAAGAAUGAUGGUGAGGCGGAUCAAGAUGUCAUAACCUUUUGGAUUGGUUCAGCAGAUGUUUUGCUCAAUAUCCAUAAGCAGAUUCUAUCUGGCCUAUCUUUAUAGUUCAGUUUCCUGAUCUGUAGAAUGGAUACCGCACCCAUAAGCAGGUCUUGAGAAAUGAUGUAGUGGGAACUCAGAAAGGCAAACUGUAAUCAUUUCAAUGCUGUGGUCAUUAUACAAGUCUGGCAUAUUUUCUGAUCAGAACCUAGCAUUUGGCCAUGUUUCCAUGCUCUUCUGCACAACACUCAACAGUAAAUAUGCAGUAUCAAGUUUUCCCAUUUAAUAAGAAUUCAUGGGAUAGAAAGCAAUUAGGCUAGGUCUAAAAGAAAUUAGGCUCUGGACAAGGAAGAAUUGGAGGGAUACCCUCUUGCUGUAAUUUUCCAGGAUGCUCUGGACAUUCCCCAGAAGUCAUUAGUAUGGAAAGAUCUCAGGAACAUUUUAUAAGCUAGUAAAACAUGCUUGAGGGGUGAUAGAUUCUUUAGAAUUUAUCUGCAUGGCUGACGUCACCCUCUCAGCACAGGGAGCCAAACUGUCUCGAUGUCUGUGGCCCGUUUCUGAAAUUAUUUCCCAGUAGUUAAUCCCAAGUGACCCUUAAGACCACUUCCCUGUCAGAAGUUGUUGGUUUGCAAUGAGAAGUGGCCCUUUCUGGGCCAAUGAGGCUCCUCCUUCCAGCUGAAAUAGAAGGGAAAUUGAUGGCUUCUCUGGCUGAGGACUUCUCCCCUGCAGACCCAUGUCUGGACUGCCCAAGCUUCCUAGUUUAAGUCUCUUUGUCUCAGCUAGUUGUAGUGACUGCCACCCUCACUAGCUGUACCCCUGUAUGGGGGGCCGGCAUGAUUUUUGGCUCCCUGCUUACAGGACUGGAAUGUGGUUUCCUUCAGCAGUAGACAGGGAAGCAGCUUGAUGUCUCUAGAAGCUUGUUUAGUCUCCAGCUUUGUGGUAGUUGACGAUGUCACAUCAUCUUUUCUAAGUUUUAGUUACUGCAAAAUGGUGUUUAUUUUUAUUUGGGGAUUUGGAGGGAAAAGAGAAGGCAAGGAAGAGGGAAACCAAUGAAUAUUUACUGAGCACUACUAUACACCAGGCACUGUGCUUAAACAUUUUAAUGUAUAUCAUCACUUAGUUCUUAAAACAACUCUCUAAGCUAGGACAUUACAAAUCUCAUGUUAUGGAUCUGGAAACUAAGGUUUGGAGAGAGAAAAAUAAAAUGAAGAGUUAUGCCAUGCAAUAGAUUGAAUGUGUAUGUCCCCACAAAAUGCAUAUGUUGAAACCCUAACCCCAAAACUGAUGGUAUUAGGAGGUGCAGUCUUUGGGAGGUGAUUAGGUCAUGAGGAAGAAGCCUUCAUGAUUGGGCUUUAUAAAGGGAACGAUCUUACCCCUUCUACUGUGGGAGGACAAAGCAGACAGGUGCCUUCUAUGAAUCAGAAAAGAGGCCCUUAUCAGACAUGGAACUGGCCAGUGCUUUGGCCUUGAACUUCCCAGAUUCCAGAACUAUGAGAAAUAAGUUUCUGUUGUUUAUAAGCCACCCAGCUUAUGGUAUGUUGUUACAGCAGCCUGAAUGAGCUAAGGCGUAUGGCUUUGCUUGGAUGGGGGGUUGGCUUCUCAAUAGAGGUGGUGUCAUGUUGUGCUGGGAAGAUUGGGACAAUGAUUCCAAUGGCACAGUACCAGGGACCCACUGAGAUCCUACUUGACAGGUCCAGUCCUAUCAAGAGGCCAACGUGAGGCAACCCAAAAGCAUGAUGGGGUUUUCUAGGCAAACCACUCUCCCACUUAACCCCGUUGCCCCAAACAUUGCCAUUCCUCGCCUCUGUGACAGGGUGACUCGGUGACUCUUCAGAGACCAGCGGCUGUCAGAAGCCUCUACAGAUCCCCGGUGCUGGGAGCCAGCAGUGUUCCCAGAUCUUUAUGUUGUCCAGACCAGCCUCAGCAACCAGGCCCCGCUCUCCAGCUGGCCAAGCCCUGGGGGUGACUCAUCUGGCUCCCGACACUGUGCAUCAGCACGCCCUUCUGCCUGCUGCUGCCUCAGUGUGACCACAGCUGCCUCAGGGGAUGGCAGAGGCUGGCUCCUGACCCGGGCUGCUGGCAGGGAGUGUCCUGGAGGCUGCGCGCUCAGCCGGCACGUCCCCCUCAUUCCGCCAGCCCUGCCCACCUUCCUCGCCUGCAGCUCAAUCCCCAUGACUAAGGGUGUGGAAGAGGAUUCCUUUUUCCACAAGCCCAUGACUGAGCUGGGACAGGAGGGAUCUGCAGUCCCCCUUCACUCAGAGACAGCAAAGAUUUUUAUCCCCCAGACACAAGAAUCCCCUGGCUGUGAAGUGGUAAGCCUGGGGAGCGGCUGCCGCCACCUGUCCUCAGGAAAGGUCUGCCACUCUCCGACCUGCUGUUGACCUGAACUCCAGGGACAGCCACUCCCCUGCCAUUUGCUCCUGCAGAGAGUGGGACGGAUGACGUCAUGGCAUUUUUGGAGUGCUGAAGUGAAGUUUUGACAAAUUCCAAGGGACAUCAAAGUGCUGAACAACAGCCAAUACAUCAUAGCCUGUCACCAGGGCCCCCACCCCUGAUUAUCACAUUAAAUCAGCCGGUGGGCACAUUUCAGCUGAAACUCAACAGACGCCUACUGGAACUCACAGUUUCUCCUUCCAGAGUUCAACAAAUAUGGCAAUGGUUACAUUUUAAAAUCUGUGUUUUCUAUUCUACAUUCAGUCUCACACACACACACACACACACACACACACACAACACGUUACUAACUAAAAAACAGAAGCAUGCUGCUAGAGAAUACCUGAUAACUGGGAUUAUGACAUGCAGUAGAAUAGAAUGCUGAUUUGGAUUCUAAUCCUAGCUCUGCCACUUAAUAGCUCGAUAUCUUUAGCAAGUUAGUUAACACCUCUGAGCCUCAAUUUUCUGAGGGUAAAAUAAGCACAAUAAUGUUUCUAUUUCCAAAAUUGUGAGCAUUGGUUGGGAGAGCAGUUCAAUCUUAGUUCUUGCCUGGUAACUGUGGACAAUGUUUUCUAGUCAUAAAGUUUUGUAUUUAUUUCUUGAUGUGUUUAUUGUGUGUUCCUUUUUGAACAUAAGAAAGAUAAGACAUUAUUUUCUCCUCCAGGUUUGCCGAGAAGUGCUUGUGGGUGAGCUGAGGGUAGGGCAUCUGUGGCUCAGUUUUCAGGCUAUGGAGGAAAUAUCUGCUGGGCUGCUAUUUCCCUGCAUAAGUUCUCAUUGCGGGAGGGAGCAGAAGGUAAUUUCAGAAAGAGCUUGUGCUGAUCUUUCGAACUGUUUCUCCCAAAUUCUGGAGUAUCCAAAGAAAGCAGGGUUAUCUGCCAGAAUGUAUCAGAAAGAUAGCAGGCAUGUGAAUUCUACAUUAACAAUAGGGCAUAAGAAAUUUCAUGUUUCUUUUAUUACUUUAAGCUAAAUUUGAUAUGCUACUGUAGCCAUCCUGCCAGGAUGGUAGGAAAUUCAGUUGCAGACUUUCCUGAAAUGCCCCUUCCUCUCAGUUCCUGUGGACAUUCGCCCAGAUCAUUUGGAUAGAGUCCUCUGGUCUUCGGUCCACAGGGGUGACUACUGAUGUGCUCAUCUGCUAAGUCCUCAUGCUCCUGGGAGGCUGGUGGCUCCACCAUUCCUUGGCAGAGCUUUGCCAUUGCUACGAUUUCUCCCUGAGGCCCUGUCGCCUCCCGAGGGUUGCCAGAGAAGGAGAGCCUCCACACCUGGGAUCACAGCUCCCUUCCCUUCCAGUCCCGGGGAGACACUAGAAUCCUUUGAAGUUUCCCUUUUCUAUCAGGACUGUCUCCUUCUCCACCUUUUGGAGAAGAUGAAGGGUAAUCUCCCUUGAGAGAGCCUGUGGAGACACAAUGAUGGCCUCUGUUCUUUAGGAGUGGGGAAAAGAUAAGUUAUCUAGGUUAACUAGGAUUAACUAAUUCUGUUACUGAGCUGGGUGACAAGAUGGGAUUGGGGAAUUUGUUUGGGGACUCAGUGAGGACAUGCAGGAGACAGAUUCAAAGAAUCACAUGUGAAAUGGACAGGGCUCCAAUCCCUCUAAAAUAUCUGUUGCUUUCCUUCUUCCACUUCGACCCCUAUCCCCCAUAAUUCUUCUGUCUUUUUUUGGAGACAGAAUCUUGUUCUGUCACCAGCCUAGAGUGCAGUGGAGCGAUCUUGGCUCACUGCAACCUCUGUCUCCUGGGUUCAAGAGAUUCUCCUGCCUCAGCCUCCCGAAUAGCUGGGACUACAGGUGUGUGCCACCACGCCCAGCUAAUUUUUGUAUUUUUAGUAGCGACAGGGUUUCACCAGGUUGGCCAGGAUGGUCUCGAUCUGUGGACCUCGUGAUCUGCCUGCCUCAGCCUCCCAAAGUGCUGGGAUUACAGGCGUGAGCCACUGCUCCCAGCCAAUUCUUCUAUCUUUAAAAGGUAACCCAGGUUGGGAGGGAAGGCUGGGAGCACAGCAGAAGACAGAACUGCUUUGUUGAGCCCCAGAACCAGCAGCGGAUACUCCCUGCCAAUCACAUGGCACUCACCUCUUUGUGUAAAUUUAGAAGGUGCUUGCCCAGGAACAAUCUGGCUUGACUGUCACAGCCAUCCUGCAAGGUAAGUGGGGCAGUCGUUAACCCCAUUUUCCAGAUAAGGAAGCUGAGGCUCACAUUGAUUAAAAGACUUGCCCAAAGUAACCAAGCUGUUGAGGGGCAAAGCAGCAGGACACAGCAUCCAGGUCUCUUGACUUUUGCUUCAAGAGCCCACAGCCACACUCGGUGCUUAGAUGAGGCUUUGGCUCAUCAGUGAUUUGUGAUGUUUGCCUUUUGCCAAAGAGGGGGAUGGCUGAAGAGCUAGUGCCCUGACAUUCUGGACUCUUGCCAGUAGAUUUUGUCUGACUCUUGCUCUGAUGCUAUUCUUUGUUAUUUUCAGGAAGGGGAGCUAGAUGUAGAAUACAUUUCUUUUUCUUGGUAACGUGAACAGCAAGAAACAAGUAGAGUACAUUUCUUAUGAGAGAAUAUGCUCGGGACUUUGAUUCAUAUCUGGUGGGUCCCAAAAGACCAGGGUACUGCAGAUUUAAGACCAUGUUGCAAAUUCGGCAUGCAUUCAAUAGGACUACCUUAGUGAGGGGAGUAAUUUUAUAAAAUUAUCAAUUCAGUCUCAAAGAAUAAUAGCAGGAAAUGUAUUUCUGACUAUUUAGAAGUGACUCAUUGUGGGACUGUUUGAAAACUAUAUAUUAUUUUUAUCAGUAAAUAGUAUUGCCUAUAGUCAAUGUUAUCUCUUCACAUCCAGGGAUUCUAAGAUCCGGUUACCCAUUUCCCUCAAAACAGCAGAUAGCAAAGCCAGGGAAAUGAAAACCCACCAAACUUUCUGCAAGGCUGACACCACCCCUAAACCCCACUGCAAACUGAUAACACCACACCCUCCUCUGCAAAAUAACAGAGGGGCAGAUAAGAUGAAAAUUUUCAUUCCAAUUAGCAAUUAUUUCCAGUCAGUGAAAGGCAGAAUCAGAAGAGGUUCCACAACCAGAAAAUCUUGGCUGGAAUUUCACCAUCAGGAAUAAAACAGAAAAACUAAAAGAGUGCCCCAGAUAGCCUUUCUUAGGGGCCUGUGUCAGGUAAGUGCUUUUGAAUAUUUAAAACAAAGGAUGGCUAAGAGUUCUGCAGUCAUUUUCCAGUUAAAUAUCAGAUGGUAUAAAAUAUUUUUAUAGAAAGUACAGGCCAGGUGCGAUGGCUCACACCUGUAAUCCCCACACUUUGGGAGACCCAGGUGGGCAGAUCACUUGAGGCCAGGUGUUCAAGACCAGUCUGGCUAACAUGGCGAAACCCCGUCUCUACUGAAAAUACAAAAAUUAGCCUGGCGUGGUGAUGCACACCAAUAAUCCCAGCUAGGUCAGGAGGCUGAGGCAUGAGAAUCGCUUGAACCCGGGAGGUGGAGGUUGCAGUGAGAUGAGAUCGAACCACUGCACCUCCAGCCUGGGCGACAUAGUGACACUGUAUCUCAAAAAGAAAAAGAAUUCAUAAUCCACUUUUCAUUAGCUGGUAUUUGGCCUUACCAAGGUGAAGCAUGAAAAUGAAAUUCUAUCUGUAUCAGCCAGAUUCUCUCAGACACAUGUAUUCACUGCAUGACGGACCCUGGUUUCCAAAUUGUUAAGCAUACCAGACUCUAGUGAAUGCCCUUCCGAAAGGGCAAUCAUGCAGCAGGCCUUCCCAUCCGAGAGCCAUGGUCCCAGCCAAGGCAGCUUUCAGGGGUUGCUCCACCACUCUAGGGAGGCGGCCCAGAUCUGUCUCUCCCAAACAGUGUCUGGGUUUGACACUUCCUGAGAAAGCAGAGAUUGUUCCCUUUGUAUGCCAUGGCUCUGGAAUGCAGCUCUUCCUGUAAGGAAGACAAUGGUCUUUAUGGGAAGGCUAGGACUUGAAGGAGGUAAGAUUUGAAUGGCAGAGCUGGGUGCUAGCUUUCCUGCUGAGGGAAAUGGUGGGCACAGAACCCCCGCGGUGGGCAAGCUGGGGUGUGGGUGCCUGUGGGCUGGCAGGUGACUCUGCCCGGAGCAUCGCAGGGGUGGGGAAGAGAUCAAGGAGGUAAGAAAGGUAGUCUAGGGGGAGGGGCCCAGAGUUUUGAACACCAGACUUAGGAAUCUGGGACAUACGUACUGGCCUUUGCCAUUCAAAGUGUGGUCCUGGGACCAACAGCAUCCUUGGACUUGAAAGCUUGUUAGACACGCAGAAGCCCGGGCUCACCCCAGGCCUGCUGAAUCACAACCUGCAUUUUAACAAGACCCCCAGGAAAUUUCUAUCCUCCUUCAAGCACUACUCUAGGCUAAGAGGAAGCAAGAACAAUUUUUAGAGCUGGGGAUUAAGUGAUGGGAGGAGUGUUUGGGAAUGAGGCCACUAGAGUGCUUAGAGAACACUCGGGAGCCCCACAACAAUGCAGGCGUGAGUGAAGGAGGGGGGCAGGGGGCUGCGAGGGAGACAGGUUUUCCCCACAAGCCACAAGGCCCGAGGCACGCCUCCUGCCCUGCCUCCACCUCAGGUCUCAGGAAUCUUGUUGGUGAUCCAUCCAGACGUUGUGUGUUCUGGAAGUGGACAUCGCGGCUCUGUGUUUUUGAAGUCAGAUCUCAUUGCUGUGGUUUCUAUGCCUGACCCCCCGAAGUUCUUGCUCCUGUUGCCACAGGGAGCCGGGAGAGCACAGAGCGCUGCUCCCGGUGCCCUGCAGCCACACAAACAUGCUCCUGCUCCUGGCGGAGGCAGAGCUGCUGGGAAAGACAUUUCGGAAGUUUCCUGUGGCUGCAACAAAUUGUUCAAAUCUGCACUGGAGCACCGCUGUGACCUGUCUUUCUCCAUCUUAGGGCAACCAGCUCCUGAAACUGGAAACUCCCCAGCACCUCCUCACCCUACCCCUCAGGCUCUCCUUGUGGGGGUGGGGCAGGGGGAGUUGUCUGGAAUGCCUGGCCUCUCUGUCCAAGCAUGGCAGCCUUGCCCCAUGGAUGGUGCAGACUCAGUUUCCCAUGCACCUUGCCCCAGGGAGGAGGUAGGGGUUCCUUCCAUAGAGAUGGUGAAGAAUAAGGGAGGUAGUGAUCGUCUCUGGGAUCCAGUUAGAUCUGCGUUUGCAGGCAGAAAGAGGCUGGGGCACAUGGAGAGAGUGAUCAACUGGAAGAUUCUAGGGUCCUCAAUUUUGAAAGGUGACAUGAUACCCUGGAAAGGGCAUGAACUUAGUUGUCAGUUCGUCCUUGCCUUUUCCAAUCAAUGAUGUGUGGCCACGGCAAAUUAAUGAACAUCUCUGAGUUUCAGUCUCCUGUCUAAAAUGAGGUGAUAAUAGCUUCUUGAAGGUUGUAAGGCCCUGAACAUGCUGCCUGGCACAUAGAUGGCUAAUCAAUAUUUUCCUACCCUUCCCUUCCUUCCCUUCUCUGAAGUUGCUACCUGUCUCCUCCUGGGGUCUUGCAAAUAAACUUCUGAAUUAAAUAGUUCCUGCCUGGUAAUUUGUAUCAACUGAGGGAAGACAAGUCUGGAAUAUUACUUUUUUUUUUUUUUCAGAGGGAGUCUCGCUCUGUCGCCCAUUUUGAGAUUGAGGGCUACACUUAAAAAUAAAUGUAACCAUUGGCUGAAACCAGACCGCUUUCUGGAAGGGAGUCUUUUGGGGCUUCCUUCAAUGAACAGACAGGAGUGUAAUUAGUUAUUUGAUAGCAAAUGGGUUCUCUCAGGACAUAAAUACAAUUUAAAGCAGUUUGUUCUAGUGUCUACAGUUUCAACAUUGCCCGUUGCAUUCAUGUUUCUACUCUUAACUUGCCAAGUAAACCCAUAGUUUGUUAGUUCCAACACUAAUCUCUGAUCAGUCCCAUUUAUUCUAAAUUUGUUUUCACAUAAUGGCUUCCACAACUCAAGGUAUUUUCUAUUCUUUGCUCUCUGGAGACUGAGAGGUUAUCAGUUGUGGAAAGCCUUCCAGGAAGUUUUCCUCUAAUGUUGUCCUGGGGAAUACAGAAGCCGCCUCGAAUGAAUGGUCGGACUCACCUUUUCCCAGGACCAUAAAAAUAUAUAUUUUUGUUUCCUACCCUAAACACAGUUUAACUCACUCCUUGUUUUUCCUGGGAGAUUGUGGUAACAUGGAGAGGCCUGGGGGGUCUCUGGGAUAAAGCAGCUUGUAAAACGACUAUGGGGGGAUUCCAGAUCUGACUUAAUCAACAUUUCUCAAGAUCCGUAGACCAAUAAAACUGUUUGCUUUCUUACCACAGUUCCACCGGCUGAUUUAUUUCUCUUACUUGGCUGAAGCUGUCACUGCUCAAAGCAGUUCAUUUGUCAGGUCGAGAGAAUUACAAUUCACAGGACCUCUUGCUAGUGCUAUCUCAGUUUAUAAAUUUCACGAAUCACAAUUUAUUGCGGUGCACCCCACAGAGUCUCCUAUUAAUAAAUUGUGGCUCAUCAGCAAAAGCACGUGUCUAUGGCUCCCUUGGAUAUAGGCUUAGGGUCCUGGAGCAGCCGCACAAGCUGCAUGUGGCCAACACACAAACGUAGCUGGGCCGGCUCCCGCAGCCUCUGUCUGAGUCUCCCUCUACUUGCAAUGACUCUCUGCGUGGCCUGGUUUCUUGUUUUCACCUCUGCAGGGAUGCCAUGUAAAGGAGGCCAGACACCACCUGGGUAUGUUUGUGUUGUGGUGGGGAGGGCCGGGCCAUAGGAAGAACUUAAUUCCUUCCAAAAUCUACAGAUUUUCCCCUAAUAGAUUUCAUCAACCUGUGGGUACAAACAGAGUUGCAUUAACAAUGCAAACCUUUUGUUCACUGACUCUUUUCCUUCCCAGCCACCAGCACCUCAGCUAGAGCUUUCUGGAAGUCCUUGGGGUUUUUCACAUGCUCUCGGAAGUGAGGCCAGUAGUGACUUGCCCAAGUAGUCAGGUCGGCUCCUCCAAGGCAUUUUCCAUUUCCUUCCUUCCCCCUGUGCUGGCCUCUUCUGCUGGGUGUGUGCAGUUCCCAUGGGGCUUGCUAUGUCUUCCACUCUCUCUGUCUGCUACUGACACCUAAGUCCCGACUAGGGGCUGCACUUUGUUCCCCCAAAUCCAUAAGUGAAAUCCUAGCCCUCAGUACCUCAGAGUGUGACUGUAUUUGCAGAGAUGGCCUUUAACAUGUAAUUAAGGUAAAAGGAGGUUGUUAGGCUGGGCCUUAAUCCCAUAUAACUGAUGUUCUUAUAAGGAGAGGAAAUUUGGGCCCAGACACACACAAAGGGAAAGAUCAUAUGAAGACACAGGGAGAAGACGCUCACCUGCUAGCCAGGGACAGGGGCCUCAGAAGGAACCAACCCUACCUUGGAAGAAGUUGACACCCUGAUCUCAGACGUCCAGCCUUCAGAAUGGUGAGAAAAUAUAUUUCUGUUGUGGAAGUCACACAGUCUGGUACUUUGUCAUGGUCAUCCCAGGAAAUGAUUACAAUCCACUACCAAGAAAUGUCUGGCACCUUCAUGACGACCAAGCUGGAUGUCAAGCCAGGGAUGACAGCUUGCAGCUUCUGCUGAUGUUUGCCCUCGGAGAGGAGCCCCCAAACCCUGCUGUUUGUGCCGAUGUCAUUCAGUGUUUGUGGAGUAGCCCAGGGGUCUCCAACCCCGGGACCAUGUAUCGGUACCAGUCUGUGGUCUGUGGCCUGUUAGGAACAGCAGGAAGUGAGUGGCGGGUGAGCGAGCCUUACUGCCUGAGCUCCGUCUCCUCCAGAUCAGCUCACCUGCCCCAUUAGAUUCUCAUAGGAGUGCGAAUCCUACUGUGAACUGUGCAUGUGAGGGAUCUAGGGUGCAUGCUCCUUAUGAGAGUCUAAUGUCUAAUGAUCUGAGGUGGAACAGUUUCAUCCAGAAACCAUUGCCCCCUUCCCCCCUAGUCUGGAAAAAUUGUUGCCUUCCCUCCCCGCAUGUGCCCUGUGCCCUAGUAUCUCUGGAGUCAUUUUCCCAGAAGCUAUCAUGACUUUUAGUUAGAGUGAGAGGCUGGGGUCACUCAGGGCACCCGGGAAUCACAGUGAUCCUAUGUAGUGGGAGCUGGAUCCGUGAAGGAGAUGGACACUGACUGAAGAUUCCACUCCAGGCUGAGAGAGGAGAGAGGAAGUUCCCUGGCUGCUCUCUUCCUCCCACCCUCAGACUCUUGUCAGUGUCUCCUUGGCUGAGCCCUGCUGGGAUCUGGGGCAGCUGGGGAAACACAGCCUUCAGGGGUCAGCCCCUGCCAUAGACAGCAGAGCAGGAAAUGGUUGAGGAGUGGCUCUCGGGGCAAACAGGCCCAGGACUAGGGUUCCUUUCGUAGCUGUCUGUUAGUUUCUUGUGGCUGCUGCAGCAAAUGACUAGACCCUUGGAUGGCUGAAACCGCAGACAUUUACUCCCACAGUUCUGGAGGCCAGACUUUCAAAAUCAAGACAUUAGCAGGGCUGUGCUUCCUUUAGAGGCUUCAGGGAAGGUCCUUCUAUACCUCCUUCAGGCUCUGCUGACUCCAGGUGCGCCUUGGCUGGGGCUGCAUCACUCCAAUCCCUGCCGCCUCCUGCACAUGGCCUUCUCCUUUCCUCUGUGUGUCUCUCCUCUGUGUGGCAUCUUUCUCUAUGUGUCAUUGGACUUAGGGCCCACCCAGAUUGCAAAGAUCCCUUAUCCAAACAAGGCCACAUUCACAGCUUUUAGGGCUUAGGAUGUGGGCAUAUCUUUUGGGGGCCACCAUUUCACCCACUGCAACCUCCUUAAUUUUGUUCAAGCUGUUCCUUCAACCUAGUGUCCCCUACCCUCCUCCUUCUAGAAAAAUCCUGCAAGUCUCCUCUCAAGUGUCACCUUCAGCAUGAAACCUUGCCUGGACUACAUGAUCAGACCCACUUACCAUCUCUCCUGGGCCCCCAUAGUUCCUUGUUCUUUUGCAUGGCACUUAUCGCCUUGACAGUCCACUGGCAGCUCCUCAAGGGCAGAGCAGGGCCUGUGGCCUCUGCUCCAAGGGCCAAUGUCACAUCUCAGUUCCUUUCUCCCAUGAGGGCCAAGGCCCUUUUGUCUGGGUUCCAGUCUUCUCUUCUUGUUUUGGGUCAAAACAGCUUCCUUACACCCUCCUGAGCCUCACGUGGCUCUGCCCUGCAUCUGCUGGACACUCACCAGGCACCUCAUAAGUCUGGGAUUUGUCUCCAGUUUGCCUGAAACCCUCUCCUUCCUGGACCUACAUCACACAUGGCUGCCCAGAGCAGUCCUCAUUAAGAAGUACUGCUGUUGAUGAAGUCUUGUCAGAAACAAGCCUGGUCAGGACCAGAAGUGGGGAAAGAAACAGUCGAUUUAGAUUGUCACAGUACUUCGGGUAGAGGAAUUUGAUCUGGAAUCGGGAUAAAGAAUGGGGCUAUACCCUAAAAAUUCAUUUAAAGCUGGUAGGUGUUUUUCUUUACCAAGCAAUUAUUGUAUUUUGUUCUACUAAGUAUUUUAAAAGCCUCCUAAAUUCCUGUAGAGAUAAGCUUUGUUUACCUGGAACACUUGGGAAAUGAGGAGCACUAUUCUUUUAAUUUUAUGGUAACCAAAACCCCCUUUUGGGUUUUAAUUCUUGUUGCAAUGUUGCCUUAACUGCAUAUAUCUUUUCUGUUUUAGAAAGCAGAGCAAAUGGGAUGCACGCUUUUUGCUCAUGCAAAGAGGACUAGGGGUGUAGCUUUGGAAAUUGAGCUGAGUAAUCUUGGGUCAUGACCUUAACAAAAUAUUAACCAGGUGCAGUUGCUCUUGCCUGUAAUCCCAGCUCUUUGGGAGGCUGAGGCAGGAUGAUUGCUUGAGUCCAGGAGUUCAAGACCAGCCUGGGCAACAUAUAUACAUAUACAUCAUAUACAUAUACAUAUACAAAAGUUAGCAAGGCAUGGUGGCUGUAGUGCCAGCUACUUGGGAAGUUGAGGCAGGAGGUUUGCUUCUGCCUGGAAGGUUGAGAAUACAGUGAGCCAUAAUUGUGUCACUGCAUUUCAGCAUGGGCAGCAGAGAGAGACACUGUCAAAAAAAAAAAUCCUUUUUUUUUUUUUUUUUUUGAGAUGGAGUCUCAUUCUCGUUGCCCAGGCUGGAGUGCAAUGGUACGAUCUCGGCUCACUGCAACCUCUGCCUCCUGGGUUCAAGCAAUUCUCCUGCCUGGGCCUCCUGAGUACCUGGGAUUACAGGCAUGCACCACCUUGCCCGGCUAAUUUUUUAUUUUUAGUAGAGAUGGGGUUUCUCCAUGUUGGUGAGGCUGGUCUUGAACUCCAAACCUCAGGUGACCUGCCCACCUUGGCCUCUCAGAGUACUGGGAUUACAGGCGUAAGCCACCGCGCUGGGCCAAAAAAAUCCUUUUCAUCAACUUGUUUUUUGGAGCAUUUAUUUUUUUCUCCAAAAAUGGAGGACAGAAAACAGCCAAUUAAGCGAAGGUUUCUUUUGCUGAUGUCUAAUUUUGGCUUUUCUUCUGAAGUGCUAAGAAUAAUUUCUGAGCAGUAAUCAAUUGCAUCUCUAUAGAGGACAGACAGUAUUAUAAAUAUUGCCAUAAGAAGAAAGUUUUGGCCACUUCUCUAUGUUUCCUUCUAUUUCAGUACUGGUAGUGUUAGGGGUGUGUGUGUGUGUGUGUGUGUGUGUGUAUGUGUGUGUGUGUGUGACUAUGUGCAGGUGCAACUGAGUUAGCCUAAGGUGAAUAAACCCUACAAUGGACUGAAUGGGAAAAGCAGUGGAUUAAAUGUCAGAAAGCCAGGACUUUUUAUCCUUCUCUUUAUUACCAGUGCUAUGACCUUUGGCAAGCACAUUUAGCAUGUCUAUUUUCUCAUCUAAAAAUGGGAGUAGUUCUUAUCUCAACCUGCCUUAUGGGAUUACCGUGGGAAUGCAAUCAUAUGGUAUGAAAAUGCUUCAUAAAGAAAGCACCGUACAGACUUCCUAUGACAUUACUACGACACCAAGUUCUGGGAAGAAAAGGGGAGAGUUUUCUAGAGGACCACUCUUGGUCAUUUGUCUUGUUGCCAUUUUCCUUCCCAACACCAAUCCUGCUUUUGUCUCACUCGGUUUGUGUGUUGGGCUAAUCACCUACAGGCUACGUCAUGGCCUCAUCUCCAGCCUUGCUCCUCCCCCGCCCUUACCUGUUCUUUCUACAGCCAGUCCUGCGCUGCCAGCCGGCUCCACCUUGGUACACAGCCAUUUGUUAUGUUCCAGGAAGAAGCUAAACUCUGCUCCCUUUCACCCAACAUAAAACCUUGAUGUCUCCCUUCUGUCAAAAAAAAAAAGAGGAUUAGACGCCAGAGAGACACUAUAUAUAGUUUUUCUUUGACUGCUGGAAAAGAUAAGUGUCUGACAAGAGACAGGAAUUGUUUGCCUAUAAAUUGAGUGCCAGCAGGUUUAUCGCUGACCGCUGUAGAUUAUGUUGAGUGGAGUAAUCAGAAGGAAGAAUGGGAGGCUACAAUAACACUGCGAUAGCGGUGAUUUGGACUCCACAAUCAAACUCUCCUUGACUUAUGCACCCUGGGUGGAAAGUACUUAUGUUACAAAACAACAGGAGGUCCUGGCCCUGAGUUACUUAUGUGUCUCACAGGCAGUGAGGCGAUCCCUCGCCUGUUAGAUUGGUAAGCUCCUUGGCUGGGUCCGAUGUCACCUGAGAGGGCUGGACGGGAUGGUGGGGAUGGAAAGGGCUUCCUCCCACAGGGCAUGGCACUGGCCCAGAGCCGGAAUCCAGAGAGCUGCUGAGAAGGGCAGUAAAUGCCUGGUGCAGAAUAAUAUUUGGGCAGGGUGUUUCUUGAACCAUGGGUGGCUGGUCGUUUUCUAUGCUUCCCUCCUCCUGCAAUCCUGGAUGCUGCAGGUGAUAAAUAAAUUCUUCAGUCCUAGUGGCGCCCAGUGUCUUCUUGGAGGACCCGGGCUGGCCCCCAGAUGAGGUCACCAUGAGGUUUACAAAUCACAUUAGUGGAGCCCAAAGGGCUCAUGACAACUUCCGUGGAUUCUAAGUCCUUUCUGCUUGGUUGGUGCACUCAUAUGGUGCUGUGGUCUAAGAGGUGAGGUCCCCUCCCAAACAGUCCUGUGAAUGGCGGGGAGGCACUGGCAUGGCCAGGGAGCUGCGAUGACUCUCUGAGUGUGGAGCUCAGUGAUGUUAAUGCUCUGCCAGCAAGCGUGCAUCAGCUCCAGGAGACUCCUGCUCCCCCAACUUGGCAGUGGGUUUGCUUUCUUGAUAAAUCACCCUCAUAAACAAUUGGAUUUGGCCCAGAUAAGUGUCUCUUGAUCAUGUAUGCUACUCCCAUUAUGCCUCAUUUGUGACUCCAGCGGGCUCACAAAAGGGACAGACUCAGUCCCUAGUAAAAUGGAUGGUCUGCAUUCGCCGUGGGAUUCUGUGGGGUGAACAGCCUCGGUACUGUUAAGACAAGACAUGGUGUCAGAAGGAGGAGCCCAUGAUAGGUGCCUCUUCCAAAAGCCAAAGAGUUGAAUUCGGUGCUCACAAACCUCCCAGGUGCUCCUCACUGUCUUUGAAAUGAAGCCUCACCUCUCUCUCUGAAGAGGCAUCAAGGCCUCAGCCUGUCUUUCCAGCCUCAUCUCUUGCCACUCCCUGCCUGCAGUGCUGCGCGCACCCCUCCAGCACUGCCCACAUUCUUUCAUUUCCUCAGGAGUUCGGUGUCUGUGCUCAUGGACAUCACUCAUGCUACUCCCCUUUGGCUCAAACCCCUUUCUUUCUGGUGAGCUUCUACUCAUCCUUCAAAACCUAACUCUAGGGCACCCUUAUUCUAACUUCGGGGUCCAUCCAUCCUCCUCACUGACACUCAGAACUACAAUGAAAUAUUUCCUUGUCUGUGCUCUUCAGGGCAGGCUGCUUAUCUGUCUAGGGUAUGGUCUAUCAUCUGGCACACUAGGUGUUCGCUCAAGGCCUGUUUUCCCCACUGAAUACUGGACUCCUCCAGGGCUGAGAUCUUGCUUGUUUAACUUUACAUACUCAAUAACCAACCAUGUUAGAAUCUCAAUUUCCUCUGAACUAAAAUAAUGCACCUGUAACAAAUGUGACAAAGCCAAGUGGCAAUUGCCACUUACUCACUGAACACCUAUGAGGGUAAAGUGAGAUAAUUCACAGAAAAGCAUGAUCCUCUUCCACAGCACUUUAUGGUACAUUGCCAAUAAGAGUAAGAUGGAGUGGCAGUAAGAUGGGUGGAGAUAUGGUUUGGCUGUGUCCCCACCAAAAUCUCAUCUUGAAUUGUUCCCAUAAGCCCCACGUGUUGUGGGAGGUACCAGUGGGAGGUAAUUGAAUCAUGGGGUCAGUUACCCUCAUGCUGUUUUUAUGAUAGUGAGUGAGUUCUCACGAGAUCUGAUGGUUUUAUAAAGGGCUUUCCCCCGUUUUGCUCGGCACUUCUCUCUUGCCUGAUGCGGUGUAAAACAUGCCUUUCGCCUUCUGCCAUGAAUAUGAGGCCUCCCCAGCCAGGUGGAACUGUGAGUCUGUUAAACCUCUUUUUCUUUAUAAAUUACCCACUCUUGGGUAAGUCUUUAUCAGCAGUGUGAAAAUGGACUAAACAGGUGGAGACGUGGAUUGAGAGCAGGGGAGAGAAGGCUGAAGAUGCAUCUUCUGGGAAUAAUCCUGUGCCUUUAUUUUGAUUGUUUAUUUUAUCUUUCAUCAGAAUUUCUUAACUUUUAUUUUCACUACCAAUAGUGUAAUUGCUUGGCUGCAUGUCAUUGCUGAGGGAAGCAACAUUGAAUUGACAAUCAAGACACCCAGAUUCAAAUCUAGCUCUGCCAUAAAUCAUAAAUCAUCUUUGUUAGGGUUUCCUUACUUGUGAAGCGGGUGACUCGGCCCAGUACCAUCUUGCUGACUAAAUGGUUUUACAGAUAAUGAGACAAUCAACUGAAGAGUACUAGAUAGAUCCCACCACUUGCCAAGCAUUUUGCUGGGAUCUUUACAUAGUUUAUUUCUGAAGCUCACUCCUGGCUAUGAGAUAGACUCCAUCAUUAUCCUCAUUUUACUGGAGAGGGCUUCAAGGUACAGAGGGUCUCCAAAGGUGAGGCGUUGCCUAAGUAGCAGAAACUGUGAAACUGUCUUCCAAAGUGGUGGUAUCAGUUUGCAUUCCCACCAGCAGUGAAGCAGCAUUCCUGUUGGCCCACAUCUUUGCCAGCAUGGGUGUCAGUGUUUUGGAUUUCAGCCAUUCUGAUAAGUGUGAAGUGGCAUCUCGUUUUGCAUCAGGGUGUGUAGCAGGGUGUGAUUUAGGCUGAACUCUAAGUCCAGAGUCAGGCAGCUAUUCUCUGCCUAUUGUACAUUGCUUGUAUUUUGGAUAUAAGGAUGCACAAUUUUCUGCUACUUUUAGGCAUCAUGAAAGGGCCCAUGAUCUCUGCAAAAACUUGAAAUACCUAAAUGUCGUGUGGUUGCCAAGUUUUGUUCAUCUAAUUUCAUCAAUAAAACUUUCCUUUAAAUGGUCUAGGAAGUCUGUGUCUAGUUUAUGCUCCCCACUACUGCCAAUGUGAUCUUUUUCAAAUAGAAUCUGAUCAUGAGUAUCCCCUCUUCAGAGCCUUCAGGCCCUCCAUCAAAACUCCAAUCAAAACUAAGAUUUUAAAUGAGAAUUUCAAGGCCCCUUAUGAUUCAGCUCUCACAUACGUCUACUGCUUCUUUCACUUUUCUCUCCACAACACCACCUCAACCCCCACCCUGCUGGUGCCACCAAUGGACAAGCUGGAAGUAGCAGUGCUUCCUCUAAACCCAAUAUCCAUACAGUGUGUGGGCUCAGUUAACUAGGCACGGAUUCUCCUUAUCUAAAGGAUUUCCCCACGGACUUUCCUUCUCAGCCUGGCAAGCUGUUUUAUUAUUGUACACCUUGUUAAGAUAUUAUUUCUUCUUCAAAGAUUUAUCCAACUCUGAAAGAAAUUUCUAACUAUUCUCUUUGUGGUAGGCAUGGCUAAUUGCCCAAUCCACAUUUCCCCCAUCUCUUCUUUCUCAUUUUCUGCAUUAGUCAUGAGUUAAUCCAUUGCUACUUAACAAAUUAGCCCCAAACUUCAUUAAAACAGCAGCAAUCACUUAUGAUCUCAUGCCAUUUCUGAGAGUUAUGAAUUGCUAUGGUGUGAACGUUUGUGUCUCCCCAAAAUUCAUAUGUUGAAAUUCUAUCCCCCAGUGUGAUGGUAUUAGGAGGUGGGGCCUUUUGGAGUUGAUUAGGUCAUGAGGGUGGAGCCACCAUGAAUGGGAUUAGUGCCCUUAUGAAAGAGACCCUCUUGCCCCUUGUGUCAUGUGAAAAUGCAGCAAAAAAGAUAGCUGUCUAUGAACCAGGAAGAAAGCCCUUACCAGACACUGAAUCUGCUGGCACUUUGAUCUUGGACUUCCCAGCUUCUAGAGCCAUGAUAAAUAAAUUUCUGUUGUUUAUAAACUACCUGGUCUAUGGUAUUUUUGUAAUAGCAGCCCAAACAGACUAACACAGACAUCCAUGAGGGGGUUAGUUGGGUGAUUGUGGCUGAGGGGCUCAUGACAUUGCAUUGGGUUACAACUGGGGCUGCAGUUAUCUGAAGGCUUGAUGGGGCUGGAGGAACUGCUUCUAAAGUGGCUUGAGCACACAGCUGAUGUGUUAGUGCUGGUGGCUGACAGGAAGCCUCAGUUCCUCACCACAUGGACCUCUCCAUAUAGCUGAUGGAGUGUCUUCACCACAUGAUGGCUGGCUUGUCCCAGAUCUUCCUUUCUCACUGAUCUCCAAUUUUGUUCAGUGCAGCAAUGUGCCCACUUUAUAAAAUUGAAUUCCCAGCUCACUUGUGCCUGGUGGCCCCACGACAUCAUUCUAGCCGAUGAGGUGUAUGUGGAUGUCUAUUGGGUGGAGCUUCCUGAACAGCUCUUAAUUUCCUGGUUAAAAGAGACAGUCUCACUUGGUACAUGCCUUUUGACCUUCACUGUUAGCUGUUUUUCGUGCCCACAACCCACAUUCGAUGUCUGGAUGUGCAAGCAGUCAUCUUAUAGGCAUAAAGAUGAAAGUCACAAAUGACGGAUGGUGGGGGGGAAUGAUAAAGGGAGUUUGAGACCUGAUGGCUUAAUGGAGCUUCUGGUGCUACCUCCCUGGACUGACUACAUAGCUCUGCACUUUCUGUUAUUUGGGAAAAAUGACUCCUAUUUGGUUAUGUCACUGUUUCUUGCUACGUGCACCUGGACACAAUCCUAGCCCCAAUACAUUCCUUUGUCAUCUUCUGACUUCUAUAAUUACACAGUACAUCACACUGAAUUUUCAUUCCUUAUUUACGUAGGUUUCUCCUCAACUCUUCAGUGAACUACUUGAGGGCAAACAUUGGGUCAGACUUAGCCUUGUACAGUACAUUUUUAUUAAAUUGAUGAGUUUAUAUUUAAAAUGAACCUUUAAUAAAUUCUUCGAACGUUUCCCUCAGAGAAUAAGCUCAAUCAUUCUAUUGGUGAUCAGCAAAUCUUGUCUCAUCCUGAGCUUCUUUCCCACCAGUGCCAAGGCCUGGGUCAGAGAAGAGAGACAUCAAAGGCAGCCGAGGGGGUGGGGAGGGAAAGACCUGUUUGAUGUGAAAAUAGAGGGAGGGGUCUUUCGUGGGUUGACUACAAAGAAGCACUUCUUCUGUGAAAGUGGCUGCUGGCUCACCAGGUCAUUAUUUUUGCCAUUCACCUUGCAUGGGUCAGAGGACUUGAAGAUAGAUUCCCGCAGCCAGAGAGUCUACAAUCAUCGCAGACAUGACUCUAACCUGUCACUGCCCCCUGCCCCCUUUUAAGGCCUCUGCCUCAAAGGAUAAGAAGGGAAGAGCCAAAGUUGAUUCCAGGGUGAUGAGGUGACUAGGAGGAUGGCUUGUCAUUAAGAGAAAUAGGUGGUCAGGGGUGGGGGGCAGAGACACACAAUACAGUGGGGUUUCUUCCACAUCCCAGUGGUGCUGGGCAGCAGGCCAGCAGGGAGGUGGCUCGGAGAGUUGUCAAGAUGGAAGUGAUCCCUGGAAAUGUGGGGAGGAAGGGAUCCCCCAAGGGCAUUUUCUGCCCAAGUAAAGUAAGGAGAGAAAGAGGAGAGGGCCAGAACUCUGGGAAAUCUCUAAACUUGGGCGAAUCAAGAGAAACAAAUGGGAUUUUUAGGGCAGUGGAACGAUACGAUUCUGUAGUGGUGGAUGCCUGUCAUUAUACAUUUGUCAAAACCAAAAGAAUGGACAAGACAAAGAAUGCACCGUAAUGUAAACUGUGGGCUUUAAUAAUAUUGUAUCAGUAUUAGCUCAUCUAUUAUAACAACUGUACCAUGCUAAUGCGAGAUAUUAAUAAUGGGGAAGUUGGCAGGGGUAAGGGGGAGUUAUGUGGAAACUCUCUGUGCUUUCUGCUCAAUUUUUCUGUAAACCUAAAACUGCUCUAAAAAAUGAGGUCUAUUAAUUUAAGAAAACCCACAAAAAAUAGAGAAAGAAAAAUGGGAAGGAGAAAAACAAAACGAGUUCAGUCUUGGAUGCCAAAAGAGAAGAAGAGGAGAAAGGCGAAGGAACACUCUGGAUUAAUGGGACUGACAUCAAGUCAGGAAUCAGAAUAGCCUCUACCAAGCCAUUUACUAUGUGUGACCUUGGGGAAUCCGCUUACUACAUCUGUUAUGUCUGGGAUUCAUUAUUACUGUUCUUACCUGUGUAAUAACUAUGUAAGACAUUAGAGUGUUUCCCCAAACUUGGUAAACAUACCAAAAUCAGUUGGUGGUUUUGAAGAUACUGGAAUGUGACCUUCAAAAUAAUAUUGAAUCACACAGUAAGAAAGUAAUCUGCUUUUCAGUUCAAAUUUGGUGAAAUAGAAAGUUUCAAUUUGAUGUUAG